AGGUCCUAACAUGCGCGCGGCCGCGCGGCAGCAGCCGGCGGGGUAGGAAGGGGUUCGGGGGGAGGCGGCGGGGCGAGCAGCUCCACCAGCGGGGGAGGCGACGGUGGGCAUGGCUGUGGGGCCGGCCCCUUGCUUUGCCAAGCUCCGAGGACCAGGUGCUGCUGGCGCCGCGCCACCGGGGAGGUUGCCCGCGGGUGGUGCCGGCCCCGCCGCCGCCGCUACCUGGGGCACUACUGCCUGACCGCCGCACUGGUGCGGCUCCCCGGGCACGCACAGGGAACGCGAGCCGGCUGCGACCGGCAGCCCGGCCACCCUUUCGCCCCGGGAGGGCGGAGAGUGCUCAGCUCGCCCGGAGAAGAGGCGGCGCCGGGCGUACCUGCGGACGUUACCCUCGCCGCUCGCGGUCCUUGCACGCUGUCCCAGAUCUUGCUCCCGUCUCUGACUUCCUCAUUUUCCUUAAAAGUUACGAGAAAUUCCGUCACACUUCAUGAAAAUUACAUUCCAGUGGCUCUCAAAAUUGCGGUCGCUCCUUAACUAUAUGCAACAGAACUGUAAUCGGCACAUCUUCCUUACAAGAGGGAGGGGCUUGUUUUUCCCACGAUGGUAAUGAUAAAAGGUGGCGGGGGAGUGAAAACGUGAAUUUUCUACCCAAAGUGAUCAGUCAGCAAGUCUUUACUGCUGUUUGCACUGGGCCAGCAGAGAAGUACAAGUGCUGCAUACAGUUGCUACGAGGAGAGCGAUAGCAUGGACACUGAAUCCUCGAACGGCUGCUUCAGGUGGUGGCAAACUUUAGCGACACUGAAAAAGGACGGCUCAUCCAUUUAACCUUACAAGUGGCUGCAGAACUACCUUCGAACAGAUUGGGCUCUCCAUAAUACUUUCAUAGACAUGUUGCCUCCUUCCUUGGAUGUGCUCCUGCUGCUCAUCCAACAGAUCAGUGAGUAUAAGCAUGGGUGGAGCACCCACUGGCAUGUGAAGGAACUUCCUUUCCACUUCCAAGGAGGACCUCUGACCAACAUGCCCAGCCUACAAGCCCAUCUCUGGGCAGCAGUGGCAUGCUCUGCACUGGGGAGUGGGAACCAGGACCACUCACGCUGAGCUGAUUAGACUCCUGUCUCUACUUGGACUGCUACCAUCUCCACAGACAAGUGAAAAAAAAGCCCCAAACCAAACAUGCCAGAGAAGCAGCAAUCAACCUGGCAGCUGGCAGAGAUACACAAACCCUUCUUCAAACCAUUACAGCUUUGAAACAACAGGCAAAGUUCAGGCGAGUGGAGAAAUAAACAAACAACAUCAUAUCACACAGGCAAGAAGUUGAAACAGGACUGCGUAAUCCACAGCCUGUUCUGUCAAACAGGUCCAGCUGACUACAACCGUUUCUUGCCCACAUGCUCUUUGUAUGCUGCUGUGCGCAUGGUGUGGCCACAGGGUCACCUCAGCGAGCUGCUUGCAGCAGAGGAGCCUGCAGGCAGCUCCUGCUCAGCACCACGUGUUGCAACACCUAUGCAUCCUUGCCCGUGUCUACCAGUGCAGCCAGAAGUUUUCACGUCAACAACCUUUAGCAGCAGAGUUGUUUUCUCACAAGAAAAUAUAUAAUAACUCAAAGGACCAGGAACGAGGAACGUCUCCCCAGACGGGAUCUGCACAGCAUGCCAUGGGAAAAUCCCUGCAGGAUCCAUCCAGUGCUGAACCAAUGCAUGGUGCCCAGCAUCAGAAAGGACUUAAGGUUUACUCACUAUCUAUAUUCCUCUUUUUAUUCUGUCUUAUUAAAAUGGGUAUUUUAU